rnacentral:misc_RNA from 1 species
AAAACUCUAUAAAGCGCACAGAUGCAGCGGCGUCUACAGCCCCUGUUUCACUCGAGAAGUGAGGUGGGCUACUCCACAGCCAUCUUGCUGACGCUGCGGAAAGCGAGUACUCAGAGCACCAGCAGCAGCGGAGGUUGCAUAGAAGAUGAGGACCCUUCUGUAGUGCUACGGCAGCUACAGAAAGAUAUGCGAAAGCGGGCUCUUGCAGAGGAGAAGGAGGCUCCUCCAGCGUUGCCGCGCCGCCCCGGUAAAACCAAUUUCUUCGAGGAGCCGAACCCCUCGAGUAACGGCUCUGAAAAGCAGGGCGAUGGUUCCGCGAGCACCACCGAUCUUGCUGGAAAGAAGGUUAACACAAAGUUUGAUGUGUCCGGUAAGGCGAAUUUCGAGAGCCAAUGCGACGCGAAAGAGGGUGCCUCUAACCCGUUUCUUCAGAAGCUAUCCAAGAUGGAGUCGGACUCGCGGCUGCCAUCGUUUCCGACCUACAAUGCGGCAGCUGAGGAGCGACGCAAAAGGAUCGAGGCCAAAAUCAAAGCAGAGCGCUCUAAGAUGCUGAUCUUUCGCGAUGUCGGGAUGGAUCUUGACAAGCCGAUUCUGUCUCGCGAUGUUUUUCUGGUGCUGAAGUACUUCCGAUACGGAAUGGAUUUCGCUGUAGACAAUGAACUGGAGCGAAUGCUGCGCUACUUCAACGAGCACGCCACAAACGAGCUCAAGAUCAUUCAAGACAGCAAGCUGAUGCGCGGCCCACCGUUUCUGUCGCGCAAGCGGCGCACCGCGUCACGACAAAGGCCCUCGACGUCUUCGUCGAUCAAGCCUGCACCUUCUGUCGGAGCGUCUGCGCAAGGCGAUCUCGCGGAGCGGGGGGGUUCGACGGUAGCGCUGAAUCAGCAGGGCCUGCAGUUUCAAAUCAGCUCUACGUUUCCUCACGUUCGUUGCGCACACAUGCGUCAGUUUUGCUCUCCCAACACGUUCAGCGCAGCUGCCACAUCGAAGCUGGCCACACUUCUGUCUGUCAGCCAUAGCUCAUGGCCUUUUGCCUCGUAUUUCCCAUCUAUGACAGUGCAAGAGGCGAGAGGCAGCGCCGGUAAGUCGUACAACGCGAAGGCCAGUGAGUUGUUCACUACGAUGACACCCUCCAUGUUUCGUCGGCCAGCUGUAGUCAUUUUCUCCCAACUGGGGCAGAAGUUCGGCUCUCAGGCCGACAUACAUUGGCGCCGGCUUGCCUACGCCACGACCUGCCCAGGACUCCUGCCGUAUAUCUUCCCCUCAGCCCAAGAGGCGGGCACAGCAACGAGCGGCGUCUCCAGAUCGGGCCCGACAGGGAAAGACGGCAGCGUUGCUCGUGCCGCUUCAUCGUCGCGGUCGAUGCCGAUCGAUGUGAUUUCGCUGCGUAGUGCUGACGUCUACAAGUACCGCUGGGUGCAGCGUCUGUACGUGAGCCGAUUCGCCAAAUCACUUUCUCAAACAACAGUUUCGGAAUCUGGAGAGCAGCCAUCCAUAGACGAGAUCAAAAAUGCCCUGAUAGCCUCUUCCACAUUUGUUGGCAGCCAGCUACUGGAGCCGUUCUACGCUACGCUGGGCUUGCGCAACUAUCUUCUGCCGCAUGUGAUGCUGGUAGACCAUGAAGGCGUCGUCCGGUGGCUCAGCGGUGGUCUCCCCGAUGCGGAUGAGAAGGCUGUGUUUCCUUCGCUUUUACGGCAGCUGGAGUCAGAGUACCUCAAGGCACCCAAGUAGACCGCGUUUCUCCUCCAGUGCACCUCCCUCACCUUUCGUUUCCUUCCCUCUGCAUGUUUGUGUGUGUGUGUGUGUGUGUGUGUGUGUGUGUGUGUGUGUGCAACGGUGUAUGUGUUUCAGCGCGGGCGUUGUUGUUUUCUGUUUUUACGAGUUGUCUGAGUGCCGCAAGGGGCACGCGGUGCUGUGUGAGAAAAUCAAGACCCCUCUCCACCACCCUUCUCCCCUCUCCCCCUUCUGCUGUGUAUAUCUCCACAUUGUGGGCUACCGCAUGGGUGCGGGGAGAGGGAGGGAAGGAAUACAAGGCACGUUAUUAAUCGCCGUCUUUUUUUGGCUGUGGCUCUUCUUGUGGUUGCUGUUUUCUGUAUGUGUGUGUGUGUGUGUUUUCCUUCUAAGGCAGUUUUUCACAUGACGAGUUUAACCCGAUAAAGUCGUGCAACCACAACCACUACCACCCACAAAAAAAUGAAAGAGAGAAGUGCUGGACGCAGACAUUGUUGUAGAGGAGAAAGAUUACCGCACGAGAGCGCAUGCAACAUGGUGAGUCU